GCGAGCUAGCAUUUCUCACACUGCUCAGCUAAAUUUCCAUUGGUUGAGGGGUAAGGUGGCGGAACUCAGAGCUCAGGCAGUUAGCACCGCGUCGGGGGUUCGAGUCUCAGGGACACCCCAUUCCACCCGCUUUCCUUCCUGGUUCAGCAGGUCGAAUCCCAGCUACAAAACCCAAGGUGACGAACAUGACUUCAAAACGAAAUCCUGCAAAUAACCGAAUAGAUGUUCGGAUUUGGAGAAGGGUGUGCGAGAUACUCCUGGCGGUCAGCGUCUCUGCCUUUCUGGAUCGCUGCAUUGAAGCUAAAUAUGAAAAGCCGAGCUAACAGAGGGGAUGUCCUCAACACCCAAACCUGAGAAAGAGUUCAGUGCAGGAGGGGAAAUUCCGUGCGUUGACCCCGGCGGUUGUAAUUGUAAGAAUAUUUUGAGUCGGGGAACGCCAGAAA